CUGGGACUACAGGUGUGCACCACCAUGCCUGGAUAAUUUUUUCAGUUUUUAGUAUUAUUAAUACUUCACGCAGGAGAAUGAGGUCUCCAACUUGCCACGGUCCCCACCAUUUCUAAUUGUCUUACUCUGGGCAACUUAACACAUUUGUCAUAUCUACUUAUAUCUGGCUCCUGAGGGCAGUUAAAUUUGCAAUCUCUUAUUCAUAAUCAAGAAUGUCAGUGAGCAUGUUCUCCUGACCAGCAUUCCCUCUGCCUGCCUCCUGCCUGCCCUGAUGGGUACAGUGGGAGAAACAGGAGGGUCAAGAUGGCAUAGUCCCUGCCCUCAAGAAUGUAAUAUCAUUGGGAUGUUGAGCUGUGAGCUUGGUAAGUCACCACAGAAUGUUGUGAUGCCUGAGGGAGAAGGGUGGUCAAAGAACUCACCAAGGGUCAGAGUGGAUACCCAGUAGGGUAUACGAGAAGGCUUUCUAGAGAAGGUAUCAUUUGAGCUUGGCCUUGAAAAAUUUAGAUAGGAAGGUAGGCACUCCAGGAAGAUGACCCAGCCUCAACAAGGUCAAAGGCUGGGGGAAAUUGAAUAGAUCAGCUUGUCUUCUUUAUGAGGGUGCAGGUUGCAUUGCUGUCACAGAGGUCACCUGGAUACAAGUGGCUAAAGGGUAGGUAUGGAGCAUUAGUUCAAAGGUGACAGGGAGCUAUGGAAAGUUUUGGGGCAGGGCAUUGGCAUGGCCUAAGCUCCACUUUACAAAGAGUGAUACAACAGGAUGCAUGGAUGGUGUGGCUGUAACAGGAGCUUCGAGGUGGAGAUACAGAGAUGAGCAAUCACUCAGGUUGACAUCCUUCCAGAGAAUACAGUAUGGGAAGAGGCGCAAAGAAGGAUCACUUCGCAGUGGACUCUGACAAAGCACUCCCUCAGCCCGGUGAUGUGAUGUGAUGAAAAUGGCACUUCAUCUCUGCUUCCUCUUCAAGGCCGUAAUUUUCAUCUAAUCCUUGAGAAAAAUGACAUAAAAAUCCCAGUUAAGGCACAGUCUACAAAAUACCUGAUCAGCACCCCUCAAAACUGCCAAGAUCAUCAAAAAUAAGGACAGCCUGGAAAACAGUCACAGCCAAAGGGAGGCUAGGAGACAUGAUGACUAAAUAUAAUGUGGAAUCCUUGCAGGAUCCUGGAACAAACAAAGGACAUUAGAUGCUGCCAACCUCAAAGCCUGUUUUGAAAGAUGUGCUUCCCACACAAACUGCAUGCCUCCCUCUUCCCUGAGAUACAGUAUUGAAACUAGGCCAAUUACUAACCCUACAACGGCUGAACUUAAGAGUUCAAGUGAAAGGAAGCGUCCAUCAAUGAGGCAAAUUUCAGCUGUCUUAUUGGAAGAAACUGCCAUAGCCACCCCAACUUUCAGCAACCACCACCCUGAUGAGUCAGCAGCCACCAACAUCAAGGCAAGACCCUCCACCAGCAAAAAGAUCACGACUCGCUGAACGUUCAGAUGACCGGUAGCAAUUUUUAGCAAUAAAGUAUUUUUUAAUUAAGGUA